UACGUAGGGUGCGAGCGUUGUCCGGAAUUACUGGGCGUAAAGAGCUCGUAGGUGGUUUGUCGCGUUGUUCGUGAAAAACCGGGGGCUUAACCCUCGGCGUGCGGGCGAUACGGGCAGACUGGAGUACUGCAGGGGAGACUGGAAUUCCUGGUGUAGCGGUGGAAUGCGCAGAUAUCAGGAGGAACACCGGUGGCGAAGGCGGGUCUCUGGGCAGUAACUGACGCUGAGGAGCGAAAAGCGUGGGGAGCGAACAGG
rnacentral:rRNA from 1 species